rnacentral:lncRNA from 1 species
AAAUAGCCAUCAAAGUUCAACAGCCCUAUGCCAUGACAAGCUGACAAGGACAAGAAGCAGCAAGUAGACCAAAGGUAGCAAUAGGAACAGCCCAAAACAUGCCCAUAAGCCACAUUAGUGCACCAAUAGGCAAGAGGGCAGAGAAGCCAGCGAACCCAGUAAGGAACCUUUGAAAACUAACAGUAAGCACCAGAAGGCAUAAGCACAAGGACUGCCAAA